rnacentral:lncRNA from 1 species
AUGGAGGGAAUGAGGCCAUGGGGGAGAGAGUUGGAUAUUGGACGAGUUACCAUGGCAACGCAGGGGUGGAUUUGUUCUCACGAAACCUGUGGGGUAGAACAUUCUUCGAUGGGGUGGGCACGUGGGGCUCCUGCCCACUCUUUGUCUUGUGGGAAACGGCUUGUAGUGCCAUUUGGCUUGUGGACAUUUUUUAAAAGAAGAAGCUCAGAUUACAUCAAGACAGAUGGAGACAGAGAUGGUUUACCUAUUUACAGGCUGAUGCAUUUUUACAUAAUCAUAAAACUGUACAGCUGGAAGGAACCUCAAGGAUCAUCACGUCCAGUUCCCUACCAAAGCAGGGAAUCCACAGAAAAAGCAUCCCUGACCAAUGGCCAUCUAGCCUCCAAUGAAGUACAGCCCAACCACACACUGAAGCAAUUCAUUCAAUUGUUGAACAGUUCUUCAUUAUAAAGAAGUUAUUUUUAAUGUUUGGUGAAAUCCCGUUUCUCGUAAUUUGAAUUCAUUACUUUGAGCCUACCCCUGGAACUACAGAAAAUAAAACUUGCUCCAUCUUCUAAAUGGCUUGGGCC